UCCGUGUUAACCACGGCAGUCUCCCUAGAGAGCCCAACUGAAUGCUGGCAACUAAGGACAAGGGUUGCGCUCGUUGCGGGACUUAACCCAACAUGUCACCACACGAGCUGACGACAGCCAUGCAGCACCUGUCUCCCGGUCGGAUUACUCCGAAGACCGUAUCUCUACGGCUGUCCGAGGAUGUCAAACCCAGGUAAGGUUUUUCGCGUUGCUUCGAAUUAAACCACAUGAUCCACCGCUUGUGCGGGCCCCCGUCAAUUCCUUUGAGUUUUAGUCUUGCGACCGUACUUCCCAGGCGGGGUACUUAUCGCGUUAGCUCCGGCUCGGCAGGGGUCAAGACCCGCCAAGCCUAGUACCCAUCGUUUACGGCGUGGACUAC
rnacentral:misc_RNA from 1 species